AGGAACUGAAUCAGGCAGCAGGAAUUCACUGCAGUUACAAACAAGCAGCUACAACAAUUGAAAGCAUUCACUUAGGAGCCCAGGACGCACGGCCCCUGCAUCUGGAUUGGCAUGACAACACUUUGAAAGCUUCAGUCUGGACAGAUGAAACAGUUACAAUGGAUGAAUGGACACAUGUUCUUAGGUGG